rnacentral:rRNA from 1 species
GUGAGGAAUAUUGGUCAAUGGACGAGAGUCUGAACCAGCCAAGUCGCGUGAAGGAAGACGGUUCUAUGAAUUGUAAACUUCUUUUGUGCAGGAAUAAAGUGGGUUACGUGUAACCUUUUGUAUGUACUGUACGAAUAAGGAUCGGCUAACUCCGUGUCAGCAGCCGCGGUAAUACGGAGGAUCCGAGCGUUAUCCGGAUUUAUUGGGUUUAAAGGGUGCGUAGGUGGAUUGAUAAGUCAGCGGUGAAAGUUUGCAGCUUAACUGUAAAAUUGCCGUUGAAACUGUCGGUCUUGAGUGCAAAUGAGGUAGGCGGAAUGUGUUGUGUAGCGGUGAAAUGCUUAGAUAUAACACAGAACUCCGAUUGCGAAGGCAGCUUACUGGGAUGCAACUGACACUGAUGCACGAAAGCGUGGGUAUCAAACAGGAUUAGAAACCCCGGUAGUCC